rnacentral:rRNA from 1 species
UACGUAGGGCGCAAGCGUGUCCGGAAUUAUUGGGCGAAAGAGCUCGUAGGCGGUCUGUCGCGUCUGUUGUGAAAACCCGCGGCUCAACUGCGGGCUUGCAGCCGAUACGGGCAGGCUAGAGUUCGGUAGGGGGAGACUGGAAUUCCUGGUGUAGCGGUGAAAUGCGCAGAUAUCAGGAGGAACACCGGUGGCAAGGCGGGGU